rnacentral:tRNA from 17 species
GGGCCUAUAGCUCAGCUGGUUAGAGCGCACGCCUGAUAAGCGUGAGGUCGAUUAACCUUAGCAUCU